rnacentral:misc_RNA from 1 species
AAGUCGUAACAAGGUUUCCGUAGGUGAACCUGCGGAAGGAUCAUUAAUACGCUUUUGUUUGUAACAAAACAAAACGUUUUAAACUCCAAAAGAAAUAGUGGAAAUAUAACUUCCGGAUGCGAAUGUUGGGGAACUGAGUAAAAUCGGUUCUUUGAAAAAGGGACUUCAAGCAAUUGACACUUCAGAGUAGAGCAGUGAGGUGAAAUUCUCUUUAUUGAGAGUUUGGUUCUGAAAAACAUUUGUAUCCGGUUAUCAUUCUGUUCUACAAAUUCUAUCAAACAAUAAACCCCAUGUACAACAACUUGAACUAAACAUUUUUUUGUUGUCUCUGCUCACACUUGUGUGAGAAGAGACCACAAAGAAAAAACCUGAACUUAAGAACAACUCUUAACAACGGAUAUCUUGGUUCUC